rnacentral:rRNA from 1 species
UACGGAGGGGGCUAGCGUUGUUCGGAAUUACUGGGCGUAAAGCGUACGUAGGCGGCUUUGUAAGUCAGGGGUGAAAUCCCGAGGCUCAACCUCGGAACUGCCUUUGAUACUGCAAAUCUCGAGUCCGGAAGAGGUGAGUGGAAUUCCUAGUGUAGAGGUGAAAUUCGUAGAUAUUAGGAAGAACACCAGUGGCGAAGGCGGCUCACUGGCCCGGUACUGACGCUCAUGUGCGAAAGCGUGGGGAGCAAACAGG